CAUGAAGUUCACUGUUUGUUAAAUUAUCAGUCCUAAGAAACUGGCUUCAGCAGGAAUGUUCGUCUGGGUUUUCUUUUCUGAUUUACUUCAUAGAUGGCAUGGAUAAUGAACUAAGAAGAAUCUCAGAUGCUGCAACCUGCAUGGCCACCGAAACGGCAUGCUAAAGGAAGGGCGUUAGACCAAGAGGGCACAUGCUGCAGGAGGCCUUCCUUUCCAAACUCCCAGAAGAGACAAGUCUGCAGAACUCAAGAGAAUAUUGUUAGUUGCCAGGAGCGAGCGGCAGAAAGAUGGAGAAUGGAGAUAUCAAGGUGUAUGUGCUGUUGUGGGAAGACUGUAAUCAGAGACCCUGACAGAAACAGCUCAAGGGAAGGAAGAUGGUUUUGGAUUGAGAGAGUCUCGGUUCACCAUGCUGGCAAAGGUGUCUGUGCACAUAAGUAUGGGUGACCAUGGAGAGCAGUGGAGGACUUCAGGGCCCCUGUAUCUGCAGUAACAGGUAAAUGUAAAAGUAAUUUUUAUUUCCUGAUGCAAUUGUCAUUUUUGAGGCUUACUGCUAACCCGGUACGCUAACCCAGGCCUAGUCUUGGUAGCCUUCAACCUCUGUACAAUUUAAUCUAGGCCUAGAAGGUUUUUCAGCCCCUAAAACUUACUGGUGAAUAAGCUCACCCUUUCUUGGUCUUUCUGAGCUCUGACUGGCUGGU